UACUGUAACUCAGAAAGCAAGUACCAAAUGGAUAAGCACAAAGAUGACAUACAGAGGACUACAUGACAGCGCUCCAUGUAGAAGAAACAGGAAGAUGCAACUUGCAACUUCCUUCUGGAAUUUACUGCCACGGGAGAUCAUUAAUUCAAGAACUGCGUCCAGAUUUUUUAAGCAGCCAGCAAUAAAUCUCUAGCAAAAGAGAAUACGUAAGACAUCUCAGCUGCAGCCCCCCAACAUGCCCAACGUGCUUCUCCUUGGUACCUGCUGUGAAUUCACAGGAAUGUACAAACUCUGGGUGCUUUCUUGUUGCCAAGGGAACUUAAUGUCUGAGAUAUUUGUAUUUUACACACUGGAUUCUCC
rnacentral:lncRNA from 1 species